GAACUUCUGCAUGCUGCAGGCAUGGCCAAACAAAACAAAAUACAAAAGUCCAACCAUAUGCUCUUUAUGAGAGAAACAUCUAAAACAUACGGAUACCAGUAGAUUGAAAUAAUGGAAUUAAGUUACGCCGUGGUAGGUAUUAUUACAUAAAACUUAAGGCAGAAUGCAUUACUAAGAGUAAAGGUCAUUGUAUAAUAAAAAUUCCCAAUCACCAGAAGUAUCUACUAAUUCUAGAUUCUACUUACGACUUCAAAACACAUGAAGCAAAAAUUGGUCAUCUACAAGGAGAAAUAUAUAAAUGUACAAUCACGGCGAGAGAUUUUAACACAUUAAAAUCCCGAGGGCAAUCCUUACCUCGUGCAGGAUGAGAACCAAGCAGUAGAAAAAUAAUCACCACGUCACCCUCAAGUGGUGAUUCUACAUGGCUCUUCAGACAGUCCCCAGAAAAGUAAAGCCCAUUUCCUCUCAGCAGAGAUCAGCUCAGUAGAACAUUGAAUUGGAUUGUCUUCCUUCCUUGUCUUGCUCUCCCCAGACCCCGUUCUUUUUCCCUUGGACUCAUCCCAGAGUAAAUUCUUGCAUGCAAAGUACUUCUCUCAACCCUGCUACUUUGUGGACCCAGGCUAAGACACUUGGUGAUACAAGCAGUUCUACAAACAAACCGUCCAAAUGGAUUCUAGUAUUGGACCAACUGGAUCCAGUAAGGAUCCCAGUCAUGUUGGUAAAUGGGGUGACAUUAACCCUUGGCACGCAGCAGCAUCACAGUUGCUGAGGUUUUCACCAGCAGUGAAUUGGAAUGGUGAAUUCGGAAGAUGAGGCAUUGCUUUAUGUAGUGGCAAUUCAUAAAAAAAUACGUGGUCAAUGUUAAUUAUAGGGAAUGUAGAGCUGGCUGACUCUGGUUGCUGGUCUUUAGAAGUCUUGUGAGAGGAGAGGAAAAUGGCAGCUUGAUUGGCCAACUGUCAACCUCAAGGAAUGCUGUGCAACUGGGAAAGUUUCCAGGACAACAGAGAAAUGUCCCUCUCCCCCCAACAGCCCUAGGAAGAUAGUUGCCAUUCAUCCUAGGCUUUAAUUGUGAGUACAGCUUGGUUACCAAGGAGAACACAGCCUUAAGGAGACUCUGAGGUCAGUGUCAGGGCCCAGCUAAGGAAACAGCAGACCUUGAGACAUGGGGUAAGGGUAUUUGGAUGGACAAAUCUGAGACCCUUGAACCCCACAUUCCUCUGAUCCCAGGAACUGUCCCUCCUCCUUCCUGGAGAGGAAUGGUCUUCCCUGGCUGCAGACACUGCGAAGACACCACUAGAGGCAGGAGCUUCACAAGGUGGGGUUCGUCCUAAGAUCUGCCUCUACCUCCUUUGUUUCCUCCAGACCAGCCAUCAAGUCAGGCGCAGCCCAAGCAAGAUGAUCCAGCUCCUCCUUUCGGGAGAUACCGUGUGUACUCCAAGGGUCGAAAGUGUUGGUUAACAGGCACUAAAGGUGAACCAGAGACCUCAUGUUGGACUGGGUCUUAAGGAGCAGCCAAGGAAAGAUGCCUCCUUGUGUUUCAGUUUCUUCAACUGUCAAAUCUGAUUACGAGUGCCUGUCCAACCUACUUUAUAUACUUAUUAGAGUAAAUGAAGAAAUUAAUAUUAUAGUGAACUCUGCUAGGGACUAUACUAGGCACUUCACGUAAAUUAUUUAAUUAGGAUAAAAUUGGGCACGUGUAAACACUUAAUCUAGUUCUAAACUUGUUUAGAACACAAACACAACAUUGUAAUCAACUACACGCCAAUACAUUUUUUAAAAGAAGACUUAAAUGUGUUAUUUUUAAUAGCAUGCCCUAGGAAAAAUGCAGAUUUGUGAAACCUUGUUGCCUAAAAGGAAAGAAGAAAAGGAAGCCGGUGUUUCAAAAACUCAGACAUAUUAGAAUAUGGCAUUGAGUAAGCUGUUGUCUUGUUUGGGGGAAGGUGGACCAUCUGAAGAGGGCUUUAGGGACAGUUCUAGUCAUUGACCUUGGGAGAAGCAGGGUAGGAACAGUGCUGCUGCGGAAGCUGAGAGAGCAGUUCUGUGUCCAGUGGAGCACAGUGAACUCCUGGGUGGCACCUGUGGUGUCUUGGGUAACGCAUGGCCUCCCACCCAGACUGCCUCGGUUGGAAUCCCAGCUCUGGCGCUCAGCCCACUGGGGGAUAUUGGACAGGUAGUUACAAAACUCCAUUUUAUGGAGUUCCCUGGUGGCACAGCAGGUGAAGAAUUUGACCUUGGUAGUGCUGCAGCUCAGGUCACUGGUGUGGCAUGGGUUCCACCUCUGGCCUGGGAACUUCCGUAUGCCGGGGACACGG
rnacentral:lncRNA from 1 species